rfam:Macaca fascicularis chromosome 2, whole genome shotgun sequence.
UCAUAGGAUGUAUUCACAUCCAUAUAAGAGUUGAAUAAAGGUAAAC